rnacentral:snoRNA from 1 species
GGGGUGUGCUCAGAGCAGGGGGCCUAUGCAAAUGGCUUCUCUGUUUAUAAGACACCCAACAAGAAUCUGGGUUCAUUGUGACCAGUGAAACUUGUGGCCUUCUUACAAACAUAUAGGCUACACGU